AUUGAACGCUGGCGGCAUGCCUUACACAUGCAAGUCGAGCGAGGACUUCGGUCCUAGCGGCGGACGGGUGAGUAACGGGGGGGAACGUGUCCUUUGCUACGGAAUAGCGCGGGGAAACUGGGAGUAAUACCGUAUGUGCCCCCUGGGGGGAAGAUUUAACGACGAAGGUACGGCCCGAGUUGGAUCAGGUAGUUGGUGGGGUAAUGGCCUACGAAGGCGACGAUCCAUAGCUGGUUUGAGAGGACGAGCAGAGACACUGGGACUGAGACACGGCGCAGACUCCUACGGGAGGCAGCAGUGGGGAAUCUUAGGAAAUGGGGGGAGCCCUGAUCUAGCCAUGCCGCGUGAGCGAUGAAGGCCUUAAAGUUGUAAAGCUCUUUCAGUGGGGAAGAUAAUGACGGUACCCACAGAAGAAGCCCCGGCUAACUCCGUGCCAGCCGCCGCGGUAACAC
rnacentral:rRNA from 1 species